GGGAUUUUAAUAUAUAAACAAAAACACUUGACAGAAGUUUGAUACAAUUUUGUAAAGGAAAGCAGAGGAAAACAUUUUCUCAAAUGAAUCUUUUCAAAAUGUCACCACCAUUCCGAAAAGCAAGUGAAGAGGUUUGUGUAAAAGCAGUCCUCCCUAACCAGCUCUGUCCCUGACUCUAAACCCUGACUCUCAACCCUAACGCUAAACCCUCUGAGGGCAGGAAGACUAGACGGUGUAACGGUUUGAACCACAGAGAAGGAAGAAAAGAGGAAGCAGUAGAUAGUAGUGAAGUAGUGAGGUUAGUGACAGACGUGAGGGAAAGGCGUGUGGAAGCACACGGUUACAUGUGGGGUCAAGAAGAUCACUCCCACUGGAGGUCAUUGAUCCAUCAGCCUCAGACUGCUGAGCUCAGCAGGUCUUCUGGAGGACGAGGCUUAGAUGAACUGAGGAGACGGGACCAGCAGGAUGUCAGGAUCAGGGCGGGCUUAGAUGAACUGAGGAGACGGGACCAGCAGGAUGUCAGGAUCAGGGCGGGUUUAGCUCAGGUGUGUCUACCCCCGACCAAACAGGAUCAGGUGAGGUUCAGCUCAGGAAUCCUUGAUGGUAGAGUCCUGGUGGUCCUCAGGAUUUGCCUUCCAGAUGUACGGCUUCUCCAUCAGUCCUCCAGAUUCCUGGUCUUGUUACAAACAUAAUUUGUCUCUAAUGUAAG
ensembl:lncRNA